GGAGAGGUGGCCGAGUGGUCGAAGGCAGUAGUCUUGAAAACUACCGCGCGCGCAAGCGUGCCGUGGGUUCGAAUCCCACCCUCUCCGCCA
rnacentral:tRNA from 1 species